GACGAACGCUGGCGGCGUGCUUAACACAUGCAAGUCGAACGGAAAGGCCCUGCUUUUGUGGGGUGCUCGAGUGGCGAACGGGUGAGUAACACGUGAGUAACCUGCCCUUGACUUUGGGAUAACUUCAGGAAACUGGGGUUAAUACCGGAUAGGAGCUCCUGCUGCAUGGUGGGGGUUGGAAAGUUUCGGCGGUCGGGGAUGGACUCGCGGCUUAUCAGCUUGUUGGUGGGGUAGUGGCUUACCAAGGCUUUGACGGAUAGCCGGCCUGAGAGGGUGACCGGCCACAAUGGGACUGAGGUACGGCCCAGAGUCCUACGGGGGACAACGGUGGGGAAUAUUACACAGUGGGCGGGAGCCUGAGACGGCAGCGCCGCGUGCGGGAUGACGGCCUGCGGGUUGUGAACCGCUUUCGCCUGUGACGAAGCGUGAGUGACGGUAAUGGGUAAAGAAGCACCGGCUAACUACGUG
rnacentral:rRNA from 1 species